rnacentral:rRNA from 1 species
UAGGGAAUCUUCCACAAUGGACGCAAGUCUGAUGGAGCAACGCCGCGUGAGUGAAGAAGGUUUUCGGACCGUAAAGCUCUGUUGUUGGUGAAGAAGGAUAGAGGUAGUAACUGGCCUUUAUUUGACGGUAAUCAACCAGAAAGUCACGGCUAACUACGUGCCAGCAGCCGCGGUAAUACGUAGGUGGCAAGCGUUGUCCGGAUUUAUUGGGCGUAAAGCGAGCGCAGGCGGAAGAAUAAGUCUGAUGUGAAAGCCCUCGGCUUAACCGAGGAAUUGCAUCGGAAACUGUUUUCUUGAGUGCAGAAGAGGAGAGUAGAACUCCAUGUGUAGCGGUGGAAUGCGUAGAUAUAUGGAAGAAUACCAGUGGCGAAGGCGGCUCUCUGGUCUGCAACUGACGCUGAGGCUCGAAAGCAUGGGUAGCGAACAGGAUUAGAUACCCUGGUAGUCCAUGCCGUAAACGAUGAGUGCUAAGUGUUGGGAGGCUUCCGCCUCUCAGUGCUGCAGCUAACGCAUUAAGCACUCCGCCUGGGGGGUACGACCGCAAGGUUGAAAC